rnacentral:rRNA from 1 species
UUGAACGCUGGCGGCAGGCCUAACACAUGCAAGUCGAGCGGAUGAGUGGAGCUUGCUCCAUGAUUCAGCGGCGGACGGGUGAGUAAUGCCUAGGAAUCUGCCUGGUAGUGGGGGACAACGUUUCGAAAGGAACGCUAAUACCGCAUACGUCCUACGGGAGAAAGCCAGGGGGACCUUCGGGCCUUGCGCUAUCAGAUGAGCCUAGGUCGGAUUAGCUAGUAGGUGAGGUAAUGGCUCACCUAGGCGACGAUCCGUAACUGGUCUGAGAGGAUGAUCAGUCACACUGGAACUGAGACACGGUCCAGACUCCUACGGGAGGCAGCAGUGGGGAAUAUUGGACAAUGGGCGAAAGCCUGAUCCAGCCAUGCCGCGUGUGUGAAGAAGGUCUUCGGAUUGUAAAGCACUUUAAGUUGGGAGGAAGGGUAGUAACCUAAUACGUUGCUACUUUGACGUUACCGACAGAAUAAGCACCGGCUAACUUCGUG